UACGGCCACAUAAAAUUGAAUCAUUAGUUCCCGUAUGAUUACUGAAGUUAAGCAAAGUCGAGUCUGUUCACUACCUAGAUGGGUGACCGCUUGGGAAUUCCAGGUGCUAU